UACGGGGGGAGCAAGCGUUGUUCGGAUUUACUGGGCGUAAAGGGCGCGUAGGCGGCCAGCACAAGUCAGUUGUGAAAUCUCCGAGCUUAACUCGGAAAGGUCAACUGAUACUGCGGGGCUAGAGUGCAGAAGGGGCAACUGGAAUUCUCGGUGUAGCGGUGAAAUGCGUAGAUAUCGAGAGGAACACCUGCGGCGAAGGCGGGUUGCUGGGCUGACACUGACGCUGAACUGCGAAAGCUAGGGGGGCGAACGGG
rnacentral:rRNA from 1 species